rnacentral:tRNA from 1 species
AUCUAAGUAUUCAAUUAUGAUAUUAAAUUGCAAAUUUAAAGGUAAAGUAUUUUCUUAGAUU